rnacentral:rRNA from 1 species
UACGUAGGGUGCAAGCGUUGUCCGGAAUUAUUGGGCGUAAAGAGCUCGUAGGCGGUCUGUUGCGUCGGCUGUGAAAACCCGGGGCUCAACCCCGGGCCUGCAGCCGAUACGGGCAGACUAGAGUUCGGCAGGGGAGACUGGAAUUCCUGGUGUAGCGGUGAAAUGCGCAGAUAUCAGGAGGAACGCCGGCGGCGAAAGCGACUCUCUGGCCUGUAACUGACGCUGAGGCGCGAAAGCUAGGGGAGCAAACGGG